rnacentral:rRNA from 1 species
UACGUAGGAGGCAAGCGUUGUCUGGAAUCACUGGGCGUAAAGCGCGUGUAGGUGGUGGGACAAGUCUGCUGUGAAAGCGCCUGGCUUAACCGGGCGAGGUCGGCGGAAACUGUUCGACUCGAGGACGGUAGAGGGGGGUGGAAUUCCCGGUGUAGUGGUGAAAUGCGUAGAGAUCGGGAGGAACACCUGUGGCGAAGGCGGCCCCCUGGGCCGGCCCUGACACUGAGACGCGAAGGCGUGGGGAGCGAACAGG